rnacentral:misc_RNA from 1 species
GAACGCACAUUGCGCCCGGUAGCACUCUACCGGGCAUGCCUGUUCGAGCGUCGAACUACCCUCUUAUACGGUGUUGGGGAUUACUUGUAACCCUGAAAUUUAGUGGCGGCCGUUCUAAGCCUUUGCGAAGUCCAAUACGCAACAGGGGAUGAAUUCGGUCCUGCCUUGUGAACCACUUUUAGAAGACGACCUCGAAUCAGGUAGGAUUACCCGCUGAACUUAAG